UACGUAGGGGGCAAGCGUUGUCCGGAUUUAUUGGGCGUAAAGAGCGUGUAGGCGGCCCGAUAAGUCCGCUGUGAAAGUCCAGGGCUCAACCCUGGAAUGCCGGUGGAUACUGUCGGGCUCGAAUCCGGAAGAGGUGAGUGGAAUUCCUGGUGUAGCGGUGAAAUGCGCAGAUAUCAGGAGGAACACCUGCGGCGAAGGCGGGUUGCUGGGCUGACACUGACGCUGAGGCGCGAAAGCUAGGGGAGCGAACGGG
rnacentral:rRNA from 1 species